AUCCAUUCUGGCCUUUGGCUUAGAUCAAGUGUAGUAUCUGUUCUUAUCAGUGUAAUUGCUGGUAUUGGUUCAUCGAACCAAUCAAUUAAUUACUCUCAUCUUUGAAGUGCCCUCCUCCACACCCUGGCUUGCCAGACUGCAGGAGACGAUGGCCUUGGGCUCUCACUACCCCCUCGUGCUGUCAGGCAAC
rnacentral:snRNA from 1 species